GGAAGAUUCAGCGCUGCUGCAUCCACAGGCUGGUGAAAUGGCCAGGAAUAGUUGUGUCUCCACAUGGCUUUCAUGACCACCCUCCCAUUCAAAAGCAUACUUCAAACAGCUCCUGAAGCUAAAGAGACAUUCCAGUUUCUCCCCAUGUGUGUGGACAACAGUUUGGGUUGGAAGGGACCUUUUAAACAUCUAGUCCAACCCUUCUACCAUGGGCAGGGACCCAUUCCAAUAGACCAGGUUUAUGUCAUUCCUGCACUGAGGACCCUAAAGAUGGAAGCAAUACUCUAGGUGGUAUUUUCUGACAGUGGAACAGAGGGGCAGAAUCACUUCCCUGACCUGCUGGCCACACUUCUUAGUUCACUGUAGUCAUUUACAGAAUGCAGAUGUCUUUCCUUGAACAGUACUACCAUCAAGCAAGGUGUCUGAAUGAAUGGACCAACUGUACUUGGAUGACUCUUUUUCUGGCAAAAGUGAUAUGAGGAGGAUGUUUUUACUGGGAUGUAAGGAAUUCCUAUAUUUGAAGCAGAACAAGUACUAGAAACCUCAUUCAAUAAAGAAAAGUAAGGAAGGGGAGUGGAAUUCUCUGUAGGCCAGAGAAGUCCUGGAGAGUACAACAGUUGCUGAAAUACCAUAAUGGAAAAAAGAACUAAUAUUUGAGGCCGGUGGGAAUAUUCCACCUCUCUAUGCCAAGGAGCCUGUGAAGGGAGCAGUGUAUCAGCAAAUGGAGAGGCUUAGUGAUUGCUACAAACAUAAAUCCACUGUGGUAUCCAUCCAGCACUGGAAUGUUCCAAAUGCAGAGAAAUUACUUGACUCAUUAACAGUGUGACCUUCUAGCAUUCUCUACUUGUAAGAAUUGCUGCAUGCAGGGGAGAAAUCCCACUGUACUUUGUGUACAUAAUAUUAUGAAUACAAUGUGUAUGAUGUCUAUAUUGGAGGAAAAAUACAUCCAAAUACUUUGUGUAUUUUCAGUUAUUUCUAUAGGUUCUUGUGCUGCAGAUAAAAUUACAGCUGUAUUGUAAAAUAAUGUUGUAUUGAGGGUUUAGUCCUAAAAUAGAUCUAAGCCCCUGUAAUUCAGUGGAAGGUAUGAGUGCUCUGUAUUUAUUCAAGUAAUUAAUUUAUUCAAUUAAUCAACUUAAUAAUUAAAAUCAAUAAUCUCAAAAAAUGGCUGAGAAUAUAUUCCUAUAUUAAGCAGAAAACAUUUUUUUCUUUCAUUACAAAAAAUAUAUUAUCUGUGAAAAGGUAGAAGAAAAGAAAUGAAAAGCACUGUUUUCCUGUAGAACAGUGGAGAUAUCAAGGGAAACCUGGAGCUUUUGUUAAAGUUAAUAAGAGCUGGAUCAAACCUAGGAUUUCUUACAGCUCUCAUGAGGCACUACAGCUCUUGACUUCACUAAUCAAAAAUUAAAAAUGAAUAAUUAUGAACUAUAUCUUUCUCUUCACUAAAGAAGAAAUAACCUCCAAGUAGAUUUAAUGUGGUAAAACUUGCUUUAUGAAACCUUUUUUAAUUAACCAAAUACCUUACACUAUUUCAGGUCCUGCUGUUCUGUUUCUUCUUAUAGGGGGACUACUGAAAUGGAAACAAAGGUCAGUUUAGUAAUAUAGAACUGUUUGUUUUAGAAUUACAUGUUAAAAGAAAAGAAGUUAAUCAGAAAUGAAAGUAUCAGUCUCUAUCAAGCUAAAAUUUCAGGCUGACAAUGCAGAUAGGUUUAUAGUAGAAUGAUAAAUUAAUUACUGGUCUUUUAAAACAUAUUUUGUUGAAUUGCAGUUGCAACAUAAUUUACAAAUUGUUGGAAAGGAGAUAGAAUUUUUUUGUUUGUUUGCAUUUUCACAGAGAUUUUUCUGUGGCUGCCACAGAACAGAGACAGCAGUUACUUCAGUAGUAUGGCAAGUACUCUUCCUUUCUGUUUGCAUAAUCCUAACGUAACUGAAAUAUUGCUCUGCUUAGAAUGAAGAAAAAUAAAUACACGUGUACAGAUCCAUAUGUAUAAUGUUUAUGUGAUUACUGAUAUUUUUAAUGGAAGUAUUUGUAUUGCUAACUGCAAUUGAGGAUUCUAUCUUGUUCCCUCUUUCUUUCUAUUAAAGUUAUGAUCUAGGAAAAUA